AAAAAGAAACAGGGGUGCCAAAUGAAUUUGGCUGAGAUUAGAACUACGAAAAUGUUCUUGACCCUACAACCUGAUCUGGAUCAUGCCAGCGGAGGGAGUUUUAUUGCUUUUAUU
rfam:Clostridium phytofermentans ISDg, complete genome.